rnacentral:sRNA from 1 species
GCAGCGCACAAAUUCAGAGCAAGUGGACGAGGACGCUGAUGUGGACACCACCAUGGCUGCCCUUGACGACCAGCCCGCGGAGGCCCAGCCCCCGUCACCACGGUCCUCCAGCCCCUGCCGGACACCAGAGCCGGACAAUGGGGCUCGACCUGCGCCCCUUCCUUGCCAAGGAGUGCACAUCCCAGAUCACCACCUACGACCUCCUCUCAGUCAUCUGCCACCACGGCACGGCAGGCAGUGAGUCAUGUCCCCUCCCCUGCCGUCCCCAUCCGCUAGGAUCCCUGUGACCCGUCUGCUCUGCCGCCGCAGGUGGGCACUACAUCGCCUACUGCCAGAAUGUGAUCAAUGGGCAGUGGUACGAGUUUGAUGACCAGUACGUCACAGAAGUCCACGAGACGGUGGUGCAGAACGCUGAGGGCUACGUACUCUUCUACAGGAAGAGCAGCGAGGAGGCCGUGCGGGAGCGGCAGCAGGUGGUGUCCCUGGCCGCCAUGCGGGAGCCCAGCCUGCUGCGGUUCUACGUGUCCCGCGAGUGGCUCAACAAGUUCAACACCUUCGCGGAGCCGGGCCCCAUCACCAACCAGACCUUCCUCUGCUCCCACGGAGGUGAGGCGCCCCCUGUGGUGGGAGAGCAGGGUGGGCAGGUGGGCUGAGCCACAGCUUCGCUCCCUGUACCUUCUUCCCAGGCAUCCCGCCCCACAAAUACCACUACAUCGACGAUCUGGUGGUCAUCCUGCCCCAGAAUGUCUGGGAGCACCUGUACAACAGAUUUGGGGGUGGCCCCGCCGUGAACCACCUGUACGUGUGCUCCAUCUGCCAGGUGGAGAUCGAGGCACUGGCCAAGCGCAGGAGGAUCGAGAUCGACACCUUCAUCAAGCUGAACAAGGCCUUCCAGGCCGAGGAGUCGCCGGGCAUCAUCUACUGCAUCAGCAUGCAGUGGUUCCGGGAGUGGGAGGCGUUCGUCAAGGGGAAGGACA